rnacentral:miRNA from 14 species
CUUGUCUUUUCAGAAGAAAGAAUCCAAUCGCUUCUCGGCCUUUUGGCUAAGAUCAAGUGAAGAAUCCAAGUGUGAGAUGGAAAGAGUUUGUGCAGAAAUUUAUUGGACAAAGCCAAAGGAAGCCU